rnacentral:lncRNA from 1 species
UCUUGAGUUCUAACCUCUUUCUUUUAAGAAUAGCCUCGUGGGAUGAAAGCCACCUCUGUGCAUAUCUUAGAUUGAGCAGAUUGGUAGGUGUUCUAUAGUCAUUGAUUUUAUUUAGCAUUAGGGAAUAUUGUAUUUACGUUACUUUCUUCUAAUCCACAUUUCACAGGAAAUGCUUUAAUGUAUAAUAUUGGUGAGAACAGCAAAUUCACUUCUGAAAAUGCAAGGUUUUUUUUUUUUACUUAAUAAAGAGCUAUUUAAAAUAUUUCUCUCUGAUCAUAUAAUAGUAAAAUAAUAUUAAAUCUUCGUUUCUUCUCCUUUUAGAAAUACUUGAAGAAAACAAAAAUUCCUCCACAAUACAGCAGGCAACCACAGUAUCUAUGGGGCAUCUUUUGCACUGCUACCUUUCCGUGACUAAAGCUCUGAGGGCCCUAGGGAUCCCCUCCAGACAAGCAGAGCCCCGGGCUCUCUUCCCGGGACGGGGAAGAGCUGGACUCUUCUUCUAGCGAAUCAGGGCUGAAUGCAGUUGAACUGCAUUCCUGAGUUCCUCUGGAAGAACAGCCCGCAAGUGAGCACACCAGCCACGGGCGGAUGUCAGUGGAAAAUGGCUCCUGCGUGCUGCUGUGCAAGUCUGAGCUCUCAGAGGUCGGCAUGCUCAUGUCUCAGUUCUGCUUUAACAGGCCUUUGCUGUGCUUUGAAUGACACCUUUAAGAACUCUGCUUUCCUCUUUCCUCGCUGCUCCUCCCCUCCCCUCCCCUCCCCUUCCCUUCCCUUCCCUUCCAGUUCUGUUCUGGUGGCAGGGGUAAGGACAGAACCUAGCACCUGGCAUGUGAUAGGCAAGGUCUAUAGCUCAGAGACAAAGUGACAAGGAGUCACAAACGGAGGGCUGUGGGAAGUAUUUCAGGUUCCUAAGGUUUAAGUUAGCAUGCUUUUAAAUAGUAAGACAGAACAGCUACUGAGACUACCCAGGCCCUGCCUUUUCUUAACCACAGUAAAACAAGCAGCACGUGUGUGUGGCUAGUAAUGGUUAGCUUUUGUGUAUUUUUUUAUUUGCUUUGUGUCAGUAUGUUCAUAUCACAGAUACUUUAGUGAGAGCCCAGUGAUGAGUUCAGCCUGAGAUGCAGGAUGAAUCCAGUCGCUGAGAAAUGACCAUGCUUCCUCUAAGUCCUCAGGUGGGACAAUUCCGCAGUACCCUCCUGCACCCUGAGCUGCAGCAGUGGCAGGCGAGCGGCAGUUAAGGGCAGGGCAAUUACUUGUGAGUGGGGUUUUUGUGAAUCCCCUAGCACACGGAGGCUGACGCUGUGAUGGAGUGUCUUGCCAUCAUUGUCCAGCGGCCCCUUCCAUGGCAAAUAAUCCAGUCAGUUCUCAGGUUCACCUUUACUUGUCAAGUCGUCAGGACUCUGCUACUGUGUUCUGUUCUGUUUGGUUUCUUUCAAACUGCAUCUGCUUCAAGUUUAGUAGAGAUGUGGAUUUUAGGUAAGCCUCCUUUAAGAAAUGUGUACCAUUCAAUGGUGUUCACAGAUUUUAAAUCAAGAGGCCUGAGAAUGGUUUUAGAUUUUUUUGUCUCUUUUUGUGCCAGUCUGUGACUUCUAUUUGCUAAGUGACUUGACUGUAGUUUCCAAAAACAGAAAAAGGUGAAGUGUCUGGGAUAGCCUGUUCUCCUCUGCUCUCUCAAGUCUGGGCAAAUGUCAGUUUCUUAUAUGGUGAAGCCUGACAUUAAAAGAUGAAUGACCGUGCAGUGGGAAUCUGAGGUGUUCUUAUCCAGAGCCAUAGUCUUCUCAGUUCACUGAAGGGAGCUGAGAGGAAAGCUCAGUGACAAAGGACAAGAUCAGAUCCAUAGCCUUUUUAAAAAAAUCAGCUUUCACACCCCAUUUGCGGUCUUCACCACUGGGCCACCAGUCAGCAGCCCAGCCUGCUGCAAGGAGAGAGCAUAUGAUGUAGUUAUUUUUUGUCAAGAUCAUCCUUUUAAUCUAACAUUGGUUGCUCCUUCUCAUCCUCAGUACGUUUUUGACCUAGAAAAGCACCCUAAGAACCAACCGUCUAAAGACUGAACCCAGACUGAGUGGCCACUAAGCCAGCU